rnacentral:tRNA from 1 species
CAGAGGGUAGUUUAAUUAAAAUAUUAAUUUUGGAGAUUAAUGAUAAAAGUCAUAUUUUUCCUCUGA